rnacentral:rRNA from 1 species
UAACCGUUAAGUCGAAGAGUUCCGAAUAGGACAACCUGUAUAUCCUUUUAUAAGGAAGCCAACCCGCUGAACUGAAACAUCUAAGUAGGCGGAGGAAAAGAAAGAGAAAUCGAUUCCCUAAGUAGCGGCGAGCGAACCGGGAACAGCCCAAACCGGUUAUGUUUAGGCAUAACCGGGGUUGUAGGACUGCGAUAUUUGGUAUAUAAUUGAAAUAGAAGUUGCAUGGAAAGGCACACAAUAUAAGAUGACAGUUCUGUAUAUGUAAGAUUAUAUAUUGAUAGCAGUAUCCUGAGUAGGGCGGGGCACGAGAACCCCUGUCUGAAUUAGCCCGGACCACCGGGUAAGGCUAAAUACUCCUGAGAGACCGAUAGUGAACCAGUACCGUGAGGGAAAGGUGAAAAGAACCCCGAACAGGGGAGUGAAAAAGAACCUGAAACCGUGUGCUUACAAGCGGUCGGAGCCCUAUGGGGUGACGGCGUGCCUUUUGCAUAAUGAGCCUACGAGUUGCUCCUAUAUGGCAAGGUUAAAUUCUUAAGGAAUGGAGCCGAAGCGAAAGCGAGUCUUAACAGGGCGUAAUGAGUCAUAUGGGGCAGACGCGAAACCUUGUGAUCUACCCUUGGGCAGGUUGAAGUUUCGGUAACACGAAAUGGAGGACCGAACCGAUAAACGUUGAAAAGUUUCCGGAUGACCUGAGGGUAGGGGUGAAAGGCCAAUCAAACUGGGAGAUAGCUCGUACUCCCCGAAAUGCAUUUAGGUGCAGCCUUGUAAUGAGUAUAUUGGAGGUAGAGCUACCGAUUAGACUAGGGGGAUUCAACUCCUACCGAAUCUUGACGAACUCCGAAUGCCAGUAUAUGCUUUACAGGAGUGAGGCGAUGGGUGCUAAGGUCCGUUGCCGAGAGGGGAACAACCCAGACUGCCGGCUAAAGGUCCCAAAACAUAUGCUAAGUUGACCAAACGAGGUGAGGUUGCACAGACAGCUAGGAUGUUGGCUUGGAAGCAGCCAUUCAUUUAAAGAGUGCGUAACAGCUCACUAGUCGAGCGACCUUGCGUGGAUAAUACGCGGGCAUAAAGCAUAUUACCGAAGCUGCAGAUUGUGUAUGAAUUUAUACAAUGGUAGGGGAGCAUUCUAACAGCGGAGAAGCAGUCGUGCGAGUGAUUGUGGAGCGGUUAGAAACGCAAAUGUAGGCAUGAGUAACGAUAAUGGAGGCGGGAAACCUCCACGCCGAAAAGCUAAGGAUUCCGGGGCUAUGCUAAUCAGCUCCGGGUUAGUCGGGACCUAAGGAGACCCCGAACGGGUUAUUCGAUGGACAGAAGGUUAAUAUUCCUUCACCUUGUAUACACUAAAAGUGACGGAUUGACGAGGCUGUUACGUGCUGACGGAAAUGCACGUAGAGCUUAGCCUUCGGGCGAAGCGAAACAGAUACAUCGGUUCCAAGAAAAGCGAGUAUACAAGCCCGUACCGUAAACCGACACAGGUAGCUGGGAAGAGAAUUCUAAGGCGCUCGGAAGAUUCACGGUUAAGGAACUAGGCAAAAUAACCCCGUAACUUCGGGAUAAGGGGAACCUCAGCAAUGAGGUCGCAGAGAAAUGAUCCAAGCGACUGUUUAGCAAAAACACAGGGCUAUGCCAACUCGCAAGAUGACGUAUAUGGCCUGACACCUGCCCGGUGCCGGAAGGUUAAAUGGGGAUGUAAUCGCAAGAGAAGCAUUGAAAUGAAGCCCCGGUAAACGGCGGCCGUAACUAUAACGGUCCUAAGGUAGCGAAAUUCCUUGUCGGGUAAGUUCCGACCUGCACGAAUGGUGUAACGAUUU